GAGAGGUUAGACUUCAGUACAUGAGUCUUUGGUAGUUAUUCUCCAAAGGUUUUUCCCCAGUUCCUCCCAUCUCUGAACAGAGAUGUUACUCCUCACUUCAAAGAAUGAAAUGAUUUAUCCUCUUUCUAAAUUUGGGCUGGCCAUAUGUGCUGCUUUAACCAACAGAAUGUGGUUGAAGUGACAUCCUGGGAAUUAAGUGAUAACGAGAUCCUAAGUGGACUGGUAGCUUCUGCAACUUUCCUCUCAAUGCUUACUCUUGGAUUAUCGUCUCUUGACACACAGCCCCCAUGCUGUAAGAAGUCCAAGCCACAUACAAAAGAAAUGUGAAAGAAAAUGAAGCACUUCCAUGAACACCCCCAGAGCAGCUCCCAGUCAGGAAUCAGCAUCAACUGCCAAGCCAUGUGAGUGUGCAAUUUCAGAAAUUCAGCCUGAGGCUCUAGAUGAUGGCAACCCCAUGAAACCUCAUGUAGGGUGGAAGAACUGCUCAGUUGAGUCCAGUAACCCACAGAAUCACUAAAGAUAAUAAAUUGCUGUUUUCAACCACUAAGUUGGGCAUGGCGAGAAGUAUCAUUUCUUACAUAGCAAUAAAUUACUGAAACAAAUCCUAAUAGCCUUGGAAUUAUGCUGCCAAAGCCAUCCAAUGCAUAAAAAUAGAUAGUCUUUUGUUCCAUAUUAAAUGCAAACUGAUGUGCUUUUGUCACUUGUUUUAAACCAUUUCACAGAUAAAAAGAAAAUAGUCAAAAAAUAUUCUGAACUCGAUGGAAUACUGUGGAGUAGAUGAAGAAAACUCUUCUGAGUAUCAUCAAGACUAUAAAGACCCUUCAGAAAAAAACUCUCUUGCAGACAUCUGUCCAUUCUUUAUAUGUGUAUGGGAUCUUAGUUUGUAAAUUUCUACUUCAUAUGUUUUUAUAAGAUGACUUUUUUAUUGUUCCAAUUACUUAUUAUUUUUGUUUAAGCUGGACUUAAUUUUAAGAUAUAUGCAAUCCAAUUUAAUAUUGCAUUCAGAAAGUAAGAACUCUGGCCUCAUUAUUUGCAUGACAUGAAUAUGAACACAAGAAAAAUUGGAUUGGACAAAAUUUAUUGCUUUUGCUUUAUUUUUUCCUGCCACAAAACCAUGUCCUCUGUCUUUGUUAGGGCUGGGGAUUGUUUGGACUUUGUUAUUCUCUAAUAAUAGGCAAAAUAAAGGUUAGACAUGGAGAAGAAAAAUCAUUAUGUGAACAUUAUAACUACGUAUGCUAACUUGAAUGUCAUUCAUCAUUGCGUUACUCACAAAGUGGCAAAUUUUAGUCUUCUUAUAUGAACAACUGGAUUUUAACAACUGGAUGGUUUUUAACAACUGGAUGGUUUUUCAGAGACUUCAGCUAUGAUUACUUCUCCCUCAAAAAUUUACAUUGAAUGAAAAUGACACCAAAUUACCUGAAAGUAUAAAAAGUAAUAGACUCAAGAAAAAAUUUGUUUCCCUAGAGACUAUCUGUUAAAGAUCUAUAAACAUUUUUAUAGAAAAUGAACCAUUUUAAAAUAAGCUUUUAUAAAACAUUUUCAUAAGAACCUCUAUAUCUUCUUGUGAUUUUAAAUUAAACUGCCUUAGUAAAAAUCAGAGAUUAUCUCUGACACAUUUUUUUGGUAGAAUGGAGAAAUGAAAGAUCCUCUGAUUUAUGGUGUGAUGUUUAGCAAGGUCGAUUAAAUCUAAGUGAUAAUCCUUGAGUAACACCAUUUAACACUUCACUCUUUACUCAUGAAGAGCAAGUCAAAAUAGUGAACUGAAACAUGAAAUGAUCAAUGGUCAAAUAUAAGAAAACAUCAAAUAAAC
rnacentral:lncRNA from 10 species